CCUACGGGAGGCAGCAGUGGGGAAUCUUCGACAAUGGGCGUAAGCCUGAUGCAGCCACGCCGCGUGAGUGAAGAAGGUCUUCUGAUCGGAAAACCUUUUUUUUAGAGGAGCAAGGGCGUGAGCGUAACUGUUCACGUUUCUACGUUAUGUAACCGGAAAGCCACGGCUAACUACGUGCCAGCAGCCGCGAUGAUGCGGAGGUGGCAAGCGUUAUCCGGAUUUGUUGGGCGUAAAGGGAACGCAGGCGGUCUUUUAAGUGGGAUGGGAAAGCCUUCGGCUUAACCGUAGUAGUGCCUUGGAAACUGGGAGACUUGAGUGUGUAAGAGGAGAGUGGAAUGCGAUGUGUAGCGGUGAAAUGCGUAGAUAUAUGGCAGAACCCCAGUGGCGAAAGCAGCUCUCCGGGCUGUAACUGACGCUGAGGUACGAAAGCGUGGGUAGCAAACAGGAUUAGAUACCCUAGUAGUC
rnacentral:rRNA from 1 species